AGGAGACGAGGUACAAAAGACCUGACCUAGAUCCCAAACGGUCUAGCAAUAGGCGUCCUCGCACCCCGCCUCGCCGACCUAAGUUUAUCCUGCCACCACUCAACGCCCCUGUCGCCCAAGUUCUCUCAGAAAUUAAACACGAAGAAUUCGUCAAAUGGCCCGGAAAGAUCAAAACUGACCCCAAAAAGAGGAACAGGAACAAAUAUUGUGAAUUCCACCGGGACCACGGACACAAUACUGAGGACUGUUUUCAACUAAAAGAGCAGAUUGCCGACCUCAUUAAAA
rnacentral:lncRNA from 1 species